GGGCAAGUCUGGUGCCAGCAGCCGCGGUAAUUCCAGCUCCAAUAGCGUAUAUUAAAGUUGUUGCAGUUAAAAAGCUCGUAGUUGAAUUUUAGGCCUGGCCGGGCGGUCCGUCUUUGGCGAGUACUGUUCUGUGUCGGGUCUCCCUUCUGGUGAACCAAGAUGCCCUUUAUUGGGUGUUUUGGGGAGCCAGGACCAUUACCUUGAAAAAAUUAGAGUGUUUAAAGCGGGCUUUUGCUUGAAUAGAUUAGCAUGGAAUAAUAGAAUAGGACGUUGUGGUUCUAUUUUGUUGGUUUCUAGGACCACCGUAAUGAUUAAUAGGGAUAGUUGGGGGCAUUAGUAUUCAAUUGUCAGAGGUGAAAUUCUUGGAUUUAUUGAAGACUAACUAUUGCGAAAGCAUUUGCCAAGGAUGUUUUCAUUAAUCAAGAACGAAAGUUAGGGGAUCGAAGACGAUCAGAUACCGUCGUAGUCUUAACCAUAAACUAUGCCGACUAGGAAUCGGGCGACGUUAUUUUCAUGACUCGUUCGGCGCCUUACGGGAAAC
rnacentral:rRNA from 1 species